AUUGAACGCUAGCGGCAGGCCUAACACAUGCAAGUCGAGCGGCAGCGGGAAAGUAGCUUGCUACUUUUGCCGGCGAGCGGCGGACGGGUGAGUAAUGCCUGGGAAAUUGCCCAGUCGAGGGGGAUAACAGUUGGAAACGACUGCUAAUACCGCAUACGCCCUACGGGGGAAAGCAGGGGACCUUCGGGCCUUGCGCGAUUGGAUAUGCCCAGGUGGGAUUAGCUAGUUGGUGAGGUAAUGGCUCACCAAGGCGACGAUCCCUGGCUGGUCUGAGAGGAUGAUCAGCCACACUGGAACUGAGACACGGUCCAGACUCCUACGGGAGGCAGCAGUGGGGAAUAUUGCACAAUGGGGGAAACCCUGAUGCAGCCAUGCCGCGUGUGUGAAGAAGGCCUUCGGGUUGUAAAGCACUUUCAGCGAGGAGGAAAGGUUGAUGCCUAAUACGUAUCAACUGUGACGUUACUCGCAGAAGAAGCACCGGCUAACUCCGUGCCAGCCGCCGCAGUAA
rnacentral:rRNA from 1 species